rnacentral:rRNA from 1 species
GGAUUAGAUACCCGGGUAGUCCACGCCGUAAACGAUGAAUGCUAGGUGUUCGGGGUUUCAAUACCCUGGGUGCCGAAGUUAACACAUUAAGCAUUCCGCCUGGGGAGUACGGUCGCAAGACUGAAACUCAAAGGAAUUGACGGGGACCCGCACAAGCAGUGGAGUAUGUGGUUUAAUUCGAAGCAACGCGAAGAACCUUACCAGGUCUUGACAUCCCUUGAAUGCAGUAGAGAUAUUGCAGGCCUUCGGGACAGAGGAGACAGGUGGUGCAUGGUUGUCGUCAGCUCGUGUCGUUGAGAUGUUGGGUUAAGUCCCGCAACGAGCGCAACCCUUAGGACUAGUUGCCAGCACGUCAAGGUGGGCUCUCUAGUACGG